CUUUUACCCUGACAAUUUUUUUUAUCUUUUAAAAAACUUUUCAUUUAUUUUUUCCAGUUUUAUUAAGAUACAAUUAACUCUUACCUUUUUCAUUUAUACCAUGUCAUUGAAUUGAAGCAUUUUCAGCAUUCCUUACUCCUUUUUUGUGCCCUCCCAUAUUCUAACUAUAAUUUAGAUGCCUUCUCAAGCUCUGCUUCCAGCAUUUGGGAUGCCAUCCUUGUCUCCGCUCUUGCCAGUUUUCUUCUGAAUUCUUCAGUGCUGGGUUUAACAAUGAAAGCUCAUGUUGAGCAUUACACACAGCAUGAGAGAAUUGCUGAAGAAUUUUCUUAGAAGCACAAUUCCUGGGCUCAUACACUUCACUCUCUUGCUGUUCCUUCUUUUCUCUUGUUUUAUCAUUUGUAGUUGAUUUGCUUCCCAAAGUAUUUCCAAUAUUCAAAUCUUCACCUUUUCCAGGCUCAGAAUUAGAACCACAGUCAUUCUCCACUUGUAAUAGGACAAAACAGGAAACAGUGGUGGGAACAGAACUAAGUGCCUCAGAGACCAUUGUAAAGGUUUUUCUUUUGAAAUACUUCUGUCAAGAAGAAGUCAUUCAUGAAUGAAAGCCAGAUUUCACCCAGAUGCUCAGUUAGAUGCUCCAAAAUGUAUUCUCCCAACAUACACAGAGAACAAUAUAGAGCCAGGUGAGACCUGACUCUGAGCAGAGUAGCAGCUUCUAAAACCUGUCGCUCAAGGGCCCUGUCGCUAGGUUUGCCCUGGCGGGUCUCCCUGCUGCAGCCGUGGCCCAAGUGCCAGGGUGUGGGGUCUGAUUCAGGUCCCCCAGGCUGAACCCUCAACAGCCGGUGGCAGAACAGAUACACUGCUUUAGGGACUCUGGAGCUGGCACCUGCCUACAGUGUUCUUUAUGACCCAGCCUUAGAAUUCACAUACUUUCAUUUCCAACUACAGGCUCAACAAGAUUCAAGAGGAGACACAAUUGGCUUUCUCUCCCCCUCAAAGCCAUAUUGAAAGAACAUGUGUGAGAUGGGGAGAUCUUGUGACUAUUUGGAAAAAAUAAGCAGCCACAACACUCUUGCCAGAAGCAAGUAUGUUUGAAAUAGUUUUUCUUCCCUUGAGUUUGGAUUUGGUCAUGUGACAUGCUUUGGCCGAGAAGCCAGCUUCCAUCUGGUGUUUCUUGCAACUCUUGUAUUAGAACCUCGAGCUAUAAUGUAAGAUGUCUAAAGCGACCAUGCUGGUUAAGAAGACCAGACUAGCCCCAUGGAAAGACCACAUGGGGAAACUCUGAUGUUACAUGAAAUAAGAGAGAUGUCCAGCCAGCUCCCAGUUGCUUCUGGAACUCCACACUGUUUCAGGUUCAGCUCUCAUGAAAAACCUGAGCCAGAGCUGUACAGCCAGUCUGUUUCUGAAUUCCUGACCCAGAGAAACCAUGGAAGAUAAUCAAUGAUAGCUAUUGUUUGAAACCAUUAAACUUGAGAGACCGAAUGUACAGACGAUUCCAGCUCAUACAUGACACAUGACAACAGAACUCUGACCCACAAACUCUGCAGCAACCAACUGGUUUUCAGGAAGGAAGCCAAGCUACAACCUUGGCAGCAAUCAGAUCACAACACCCAGGACUUGUUCGGUGACUGCCUGCUUCCCUGUUUUUUUUUGCCUCGGCUUCCAGUUCAGGACCAACCAGAGAAAGCCAUACCAAUCCCCAAAUCAGUCACAUAAAAUGCACUGCUCCUAGUUAAGCCCACCUCCGGUUUCUCUAUGCCAAUAACCUCCAAUCAGAGUAUGCCUGGAGAUGGCCCUUUUCCACUCCCAGUUUCCUGAAUGCCAUUGAGUCUCUGCCAAACACAAGUGACAGUGGCUGUAAUGCCAAUAAUUUGAAAGAACCCAACGGUGACAAGAGAAAGCAUUAAUUACAUCAAUGAUAUGUAAAGUCUGAAAAUAUUGCGGGAAGAACACUUAAUGUUCAACAUUUAUGUUAAAAGCGGCUUAGGAAGACAAAUAUUUAUAUGAAAUGAUACAAGCUUAAGUAUAGCUAUGUCUGAGUGGAGAAAUUACAGGUAUUGUUUAUUCCUGAUUAUGGACGGUGCGUGAAGGCUCCAGCGUUUUGGGGUUCUGACAUCACCUGCAGUGGCCAUGCCAUACCCCCGCCGUGCCUUGGGCACUGCUUUGGGCACACCCCCAGCCUUCACAGGGGCUUCUAGGAAAUGAGGUCCCCCUGCCAAGUGCCGGCAACUCUCUCUGCAUGGGCAGCACGGAUUGGGCCUUCUUGGCGAUGGGGCAAAUGGGCCGAGCAGAUCUUCUGCUGGGCUGCUAUCUGAGAAGGCACUGUGGCGGCCUGGAGCCUGAGAUCCACACAGACAACUGAAAAGUAAUUCUACAAUCAAUGUAAAAUGGUCUUCUAAGUAUAGACUUCCAAAUGGCUGAGUAUUUUGGUGUAAUAACAAAAUAUAUCAAGACCUUUCUUCACACUAUCAAGGUGUUUGUGGCGUGAGAUGCAUUCUUCCUGCCCUAAUAGAUCAUCCUGGAUAUAAGCACAAGAGACUUCUCUGAGCUCUUCCAUCUGAUUGCGAUGACUUGAAACUUUCAGAUCCUGCCACUGUUGAUGUUGCAGCUGCAUCCUCCUGCCAGUUCCUGGACGUGUCAUAGGAAUACAGAAAGAAAUAUCCAAGCUGGCCUGUGCAUACAGUAAAACAACAAAUCUGCCUGCUUCUGUAUUAUCUGAACUCAACCAGGAACUGGGAGAAGUACAAAUUGCAGUACUUCAAAAUUAUGCUACUAUAGACUAUCUAUUGUUAUAAGAACAUAUGGGAUGUGAACAGUUUCCAGGAAUAUGUUUCAGUUUGCCUGAUUUUUCUCAAAAUAUUCAAUAUCAAUUAGAUGAUAUCUGUCAUAUCGUCAAUAAGUUCUCACAAAUGCUUGAGUUAUCUAUGUAGUUUUCUUGGUUUCAUUAGAUAUGGCUGGUAAUUGUAAGUCUGCUUUUGUUGUGUAUCUGUAUUCCUGUUCUGUUAAUGUAUGUAUGCAAUUUAAUUCGUAGUUUGUUAAAAUCUAUACAUGCUUAUGUUACUCUACAAGAAAUCAUGUCAAAUAAUUUUCUCAUUCUCUUCCAUCUGCUACUUCUAUAGUUUUUUUCUUCCUUUCAAAAUACAGCUUUUUAUUAGAAUUCGUGCCUUAUACUUAAAAUUGCUGUGCAUCAUAAUCCUUUUUACUGGCAAAGAUGUCUUAAAGCAAGUGCUGGACAUAGGCCACGGGGCAUAAAUCUGUAAAGAAGUGGAAAACUAACCUUUUCAUAGAAUAUUGCUUCUCUCACCUACCAAAUUUACAUCUCCCUGCAUGGCCCUGGAAGAUGGCUGGUUAUCCAGAGACGGGUGAGAUUCCUCAAGGGAGGAACAACCUAAGACAGGCACAGUCACAGGGGGGCCAUCAGGUGAGAGAUUGGGAGCCAACAGAGUUGAGGCUAAGAACCUCACCCCCGCAGUUUUGAGAGAAAUCUGCACCUGUAAAUGUUUUAUUGUCCUUGCCCAGCUCAGAUCAACAUUCAAUCUAUAAGUAUAAACCUGUCACCUGCACUUACUUUCUAACUGCACUAAAUUUAUCUUUUAUCUUCAUUCUGCUUCAAGAAUGAAGUAAAUUCAAGAAAUAGACCCAUUAGAAAUUUUCUACUUAUUGUACUCAUAUCUAUGCACUAAAAGGUGAAAUGUAAGAUUGAUAGGAUUAAUACAUCAUUCAUGUAAUAUGGAAAUUAAAUGUAUAAGCACACAUGACUUGAUUGUUUUUCCCACACUGAUGUGUGAUCAAGGACUGAGUGAUGAGAACCAAAGCAGUUCUCAUGGCUCGGAGCCACCUUCACACACAAGGUUUUGGUAUCCUUGAGAAGCGUCGCUUCCUUGGGCUAGACUCAAGGCUGGAUAAGGAUGUUUGAGUUCACUGUAAGUUCAUUUGGUCAAUAAACAUGAGGAGUGCCUUUUCGGCAUUGCUCUUGAGCUGUUA